GUUUGCCCCAUUAGAGGCAGUAACACAUGCGACAAUAUAUAAUAAGGAAAUACCAUUGACUUAUAAGGAUUUGCUUGACCCUCAAGGGGAAUUGAAGACCCGAGAGGAGCUUACAAAACAGGGCAAAAAGUUUCAAGAAAAUAAAGUCCAGCUCUAACCACUGAAUCACAGGCAUCUUCUGACUAGUUACAAUAGGAGUUCUUGAUUGCAAGAUGAGAAUAAGCAAGGCAAUCUGAAAUGAACGAGUGUAAGAUGUUAAGGAAUCUGUGCUGACUAAAAACAACAACUCCAAAAUAAAGAUGUGAUUAGUCAGAAAUAUACAAAGGAAUAAACUCAUGAGUUGAAAUUA